AACCGUUUUCAUUUGCUACAGGGUAAUAUUAAAUUCUAUAUAAAAAUAAUAAUAAUUAUUAUAUUUUGAGUAUCUAAAUAUUCUUUCUCGUCUACGGAACGACGAAAUAUUAUAAGUACUCGUAAUUGUUAUGUUUUCAAUUAACAUUUUAUUAAAUGUUUAUCAAGCAACAAUUUCAUACUAAAAACUGAACGCAUGGCAGUGUGACAGGUGAAGUUACAAUAAGCCUACAAGCAUGCCAGUGUAUUUUUACACGAAACAAUUCGCCUUGUUCUUGUAGUUAUCAUAUCUCAGUUUCUUCUUAAUAUAGGUUUCUUUAAAUUUUUAAAAUAGAUUAUACUUAAGUAGUUAAGUACACUGUAAAAAUUAAAUCUUUAAUAUUAAGCAUUUUCAAAAGGGAAUCUUUUUAAAGUUGGCAUCAUCUACAUGAUAAGCCACUUCUCGUUGGUAGAAAGGUAGUGUAAGUAAAGGGAAAAUUUGAAAAUUGUAAUUUUUCCAAAUUAGAGUUACUUUAGGUUGGGCAGUUCUAAAUGCAUGACGUGCAAAUUCAAAAAAAUAAAUAAUUAAGCUUUUAUUAAAACUUUUCAUGUUCAAAUCGAAAUUAAGGUUCUGAAAUAAGUUUUAAAUUUUGUCUAAGUUCAAUCUAAGUUCAAUCUCUUAAUUAAAAAGAGUUUUAUGACUAAUUGCAGAUUCCUGUACAAUGUGCUGUCGAAACAAAUUACUUUUUUUGGU